CUCACUAAACUUCUCUCCUUCCAAGUCUCCUCUCUUUUUUAUUCCUUUUGCUACUCUCUGAACUUUCUUACACAUCCAAGGCAUAGGCUUCCUCGGCCAAAGCUGUUUCUUCUUCUAACCAACCUUUCAAAAGGGUUUGCAACAACCAUGGACAAGGUUAACUCAAAGCUGUACUUGGAGAACUGCUACAUAAUCCAAGAGAAUGAGAGGCUUAGGAAGAGAGCACAGCUUCUGAACCAAGAGAAUCAAGCACUCCUCUCUGAGCUUAAGAACAAGCUCUCUAAUGGUGGCCCAAGCUCAAAGCUCAAGGGUGGCCCAAGCUCUCUUCCUGAUCUAAACCUCAGCUCCACCUCCAGC